rnacentral:rRNA from 1 species
AGUGAACGCUGGCGGUAGGCCUAACACAUGCAAGACGAACGGCAGCACAGUAAGAGCUUGCUCUUACGGGUGGCGAGUGGCGGACGGGUGAGGAAUACAUCGGAAUCUACUUUUUCGUGGGGGAUAACGUAGGGAAACUUACGCUAAUACCGCAUACGACCUACGGGUGAAAGCAGGGGAUCUUCGGACCUUGCGCGAUUGAAUGAGCCGAUGUCGGAUUAGCUAGUUGGCGGGGUAAAGGCCCACCAAGGCGACGAUCCGUAGCUGGCCUGAGAGGAUGAUCAGCCACACUGGAACUGAGACACGGUCCAGACUCCUACGGGAGGCAGCAGUGGGGAAUAUUGGACAAUGGGCGCAAGCCUGAUCCAGCCAUACCGCGUGGGUGAAGAAGGCCUUCGGGUUGUAAAGCCCUUUUGUUGGGAAAGAAAAGCAGCAGGUUAAUACCCCGCUGUUCUGACGGUACCCAAAGAAUAGGCACCGGCUAACUUCGUG